UAGCUUGCUCUCGGGUGACGAGCGGCGGACGGGUGAGUAAUGUCUGGGAAACUGCCUGAUGGAGGGGGAUAACUACUGGAAACGGUAGCUAAUACCGCAUAACGUCGCAAGACCAAAGUGGGGGACCUUCGGGCCUCAUGCCAUCAGAUGUGCCCAGAUGGGAUUAGCUAGUAGGUGGGGUAACGGCUCACCUAGGCGACGAUCCCUAGCUGGUCUGAGAGGAUGACCAGCCACACUGGAACUGAGACACGGUCCAGACUCCUACGGGAGGCAGCAGUGGGGAAUAUUGCACAAUGGGCGCAAGCCUGAUGCAGCCAUGCCGCGUGUGUGAAGAAGGCCUUCGGGUUGUAAAGCACUUUCAGCGGGGAGGAAGGCGUUAAGGUUAAUAACCUUGGCGAUUGACGUUACCCGCAGAAGAAGCACCGGCUAACUCCGUGCCAGCAGCCGCGGUAAUACGGAGGGUGCAAGCGUUAAUCGGAAUUACUGGGCGUAAAGCGCACGCAGGCGGUCUGUCAAGUCGGAUGUGAAAUCCCCGGGCUCAACCUGGGGAACUGCAUUCGAAACUGGCAAGCUAGAGUCUUGUAGAGGGGGGGGUAGAAUUCCAGGUGGUAGCGGUGAAUGCGUAUAGAUCUGGAGGAAUACCAGUGGCGAAUGCCGCCCCCUGGACAAAGACUGACGCUUCAGGUGCUAAAGCGUGG
rnacentral:rRNA from 1 species